UGGGGAAUAUUGCACAAUGGGCGCAAGCCUGAUGCAGCCAUGCCGCGUGUGUGAAGAAGGCCUUCGGGUUGUAAAGCACUUUCAGCGAGGAGGAAGGUGGUGGACUUAAUACGUUCAUCAAUUGACGUUACUCGCAGAAGAAGCACCGGCUAACUCCGUGCCAGCAGCCGCGGUAAUACGGAGGGUGCAAGCGUUAAUCGGAAUUACUGGGCGUAAAGCGCACGCAGGCGGUUUGUUAAGUCAGAUGUGAAAUCCCCGGGCUCAACCUGGGAACUGCAUUUGAAACUGCAAGCUAGAGUCUCGUAGAGGGGGGUAGAAUUCCAGGUGUAGCGGUGAAAUGCGUAGAGAUCUGGAGGAAUACCGGUGGCGAAGGCGGCCCCCCUGGACGAAGACUGACGCUCAGGUGCGAAAAGCGUGGGGAGCAAAACAGGAUUAGAUACCCUGGUAGUCCACGCUGUAAAACGAUGUCGAUUUGGAGGUUGUGCCCUUGAGGCGUGGCUUCCGGAGCUAACGCGUUAAAUCGACCGCCUGGGGAGUACGGCCGCAAGGUU
rnacentral:rRNA from 1 species